CAACAUGUUUCUAUACUACAUCUAAUGUAUGUAUUAAACAAUAGAUCAGAUCUAUUACCUUGCAAGUUAGAUGUUCUAACCUUAUUGAUCUGGGCUUGAGGAUGAUGUUGCAAGCCGCACAUGCGUCCGGCCUCUAGGAGUCAUCCACACGAGCCCACGAAUCUCGAUCAGAAGUCCUGCUUCAGGAAAUCAGCACAGUAUGCUAGUACUGCGCUGAUCCUUCUUUGAUGGUUGAUCAGGUACCUCUUUCUUCUUGAUUUGGACUCUUCCAAAGAUGAAAAGUAGAAGGAGGAG
rnacentral:lncRNA from 1 species